UUAGUUUCAAUUAUUUAUCUUUCUUAAAUGUUGUUUCAUGUAUAUAGAAUCUAUCUAUCUAUCUAUCUAUCUAUUUAUAAUAUAGUAAUUCUCAAGCGCGCAAUUAGGCGCUGACAAGUCAUCUUUUUUUACUCACCUAUACUUGCCACAUGUGAUAAUUAGCUUACGUGUCAUCAAUUUCCUUCUUUCUUUCCCACACUCUGAUUUCCAACCCUUUGAACCCAUCUAUCACAGUUACUAGAUCCUGACCCCAGCCUCACAUCUCAUUCGAUCUUUCCGUUUCUCAUUCUUUGAACCCAUUUAUUCUCUAACGCUCCCCCGUUCAUAAUUGUAUUCUACGGUUUUGGCUUCCUUCGCCAACUAUGUUGUUGCUGUUCCGUCGGUUCCACUCUAUCGCUCUGCUCCUCGACUCGCAGGCUAAAGGAUUUCGAGUCCUCUGCCAUCAAUCGCCAUUUGAGCUGAUGCUAUCUUCUACAAGAUAUUAAGGUGAGAUAGAUAAAGUCACGGCUGGUCAGCAAUGAGAUAUGAACCUUGAAAGGGGUGAGGAUUAUGAAUGAAAAUGCUGAUUUUUAAGCAUUAUAGAACUUGUGUUACAUUGCAGAUCACAUCUUUCACUAUUAUUACUGUUAUUCGACUCUGUAAGUGCAGUAAGAGAAGGGAAGAAUUGGCCAAUCAAAAUUCUGAAACUUACAGUUUAGCGCUGUCUCCCUUUGUCCUAAUGAAGAUAUACCAUUGCAAGCCAGUCUUCUCUUCUAGGUCCCUAAUUUUUACCUGGAACUCAGGGAGCGUGUAUGAUUCUAUUGAUUUCUGAGUUCAAACCAUUCAUAUACCCUGUUAUGUCAAAUGUCAAUUACAAGAUUGAUUUUAGCCUUCGUUAUCCGAUGUAGAGUAGCAUACCAUUUAAUUUCCUUCUUUGUAAUGUCAUAUGCCAAUCUUACAUGCAAUACGUAGUCUUAAUGGUUGUAGAGUGACUGAUUAAAUCUUUUGUUUGGUCCUAAAUAUUCCAGUAAUUGAUGUAAAUUUUAUAACAAGACAGAUU